rnacentral:rRNA from 1 species
GAUGAACGCUAGCGGCAGGCUUAAUACAUGCAAGUCGUGGGGCAGCAUGAAUGUAGCAAUACAUUUGAUGGCGACCGGCAAACGGGUGCGGAACACGUACACAACCUUCCUAUAAGUGGGGAAUAGCCCAGAGAAAUUUGGAUUAAUACCCCGUAACAUAACGAUGUGGCAUCACAUUGUUAUUAUAGCUUCGGCGCUUAUUGAUGGGUGUGCGGCUGAUUAGAUAGUUGGCGGGGUAACGGCCCACCAAGUCUACGAUCAGGAGCUGAUGUGAGGGCAUGAUCAGCCACACGGGCACUGAGACACGGGCCCGACUCCUACGGGAGGCAGCAGUAAUGAAUAUUGGUCAAUGGACGCAAGUCUGAACCAGCCAUGCCGCGUGAAGGAUUAAGGUCCUCUGGAUUGUAAACUUCUUUUAUCUGGGACGAAAAAAGGCUUUUCUAAGUCACUUGACGGUACCAGAUGAAUAAGCACCGGCUAACUCCGUGCCAGCCGCCGCAGUAACAC